rnacentral:hammerhead_ribozyme from 1 species
GCGUCACUGAUGAGUCCUAUGUGGACGAAACGCGCGUCUGGCGU